rnacentral:rRNA from 1 species
GAUGAACGCUGGCGGCGUGCCUAAUACAUGCAAGUCGAGCGAAUGGAUUGAGAGCUUGCUCUUAUGAAGUUAGCGGCGGACGGGUGAGUAACACGUGGGUAACCUGCCCAUAAGACUGGGAUAACUCCGGGAAACCGGGGCUAAUACCGGAUAACAUUUUGAACCGCAUGGUUCGAAAUUGAAAGGCGGCUUCGGCUGUCACUUAUGGAUGGACCUGCGUCGCAUUAGCUAGUUGGUGCGGUAACGGCUCACAAAGGCAACGAUGCGUAGCCGACCUGAGAGGGUGAUCGGCCACACUGGGACUGAGGCACGGCCCAGACUCCUACGGGAGGCAGCAGUAGGGAAUCUUCCGCAAUGGACGAAAGUCUGACGGAGCAACGCCGCGUGAGUGAUGAAGGCUUUCGGGUCGUAAAACUCUGUUGUUAGGGAAGAACAAGUGCUAGUUGAAUAAGCUGGCACCUUGACGGUACCUAACCAGAAAGCCACGGCUAACUACGUGCCAGCAGCCGCCGCCG